rnacentral:rRNA from 1 species
GAGUUUGAUCGUGGCUCAGAACGAACGCUGGCGGCAUGCCUAACACAUGCAAGUCGAACGAAGGCUUCGGCCUUAGUGGCGCACGGGUGAGUAACGCGUGGGAAUAUGCCCUUCGGUUCGGAAUAACACAGGGAAACUUGUGCUAAUACCGGAUACGAUCUACGGAUGAAAGAUUUAUCGCCGAGGGAGUAGCCCGCGUAGGAUUAGCUAGUUGGUGAGGUAAUGGCUCACCAAGGCGACGAUCCUUAGCUGGUCUGAGAGGAUGAUCAGCCACACUGGGACUGAGACACGGCCCAGACUCCUACGGGAGGCAGCAGUGGGGAAUAUUGGACAAUGGGGGAAACCCUGAUCCAGCCAUGCCGCGUGAGUGAUGAAGGCCUUAGGGUUGUAAAGCUCUUUCGCCAGGGAAGAUAAUGACGGUACCUGGAAAAGAAGCCUCGGCUAACUCCGUGCCAGCAGCCGCCGUAAC